rnacentral:rRNA from 1 species
AGUGGCGGACGGGUGAGUAACGCGUGAGAAUCUGCCUUGGGGUCGGGGACAACCACUGGAAACGGUGGCUAAUACCGGAUAAGCCGAUUGGUGAAAGAUUUAUUGCCCGAUAGGAGCUCGCGUCUGAUUAGCUAGUUGGUGAGGUAAGAGCUCACCAAGGCAGCGAUCAGUAGCUGGUCUGAGAGGACGAUCAGCCACACUCGGACUGAGACACGGCCCAGACUCCUACGGGAGGCAGCAGUGGGGAAUUUUCCGCAAUGGGCGAAAGCCUGACGGAGCAAGACCGCGUGAGGGAGGAAGGCUCUUGGGUUGUAAACCUCUUUUCUCAGGGAAGAAGCUCUGACGGUACCUGAGGAAUCAGCCUCGGCUAACUCCGUGCCAGCAGCCGCGGUAAUACGGAGGAGGCAAGCGUUAUCCGGAAUUAUUGGGCGUAAAGCGUCCGCAGGUGGCGAUUCAAGUCUGCUGUCAAAGCACGGGGCUUAACUCCGUAAAGGCAGUGGAAACUGAAUAGCUAGAGUGCCGUAGGGGUAGAGGGAAUUCCCGGUGUAGCGGUGAAAUGCGUAGAGAUCGGGAAGAACAUCGGUGGCGAAAGCGCUCUACUGGACGGCAACUGACACUCAGGGACGAAAGCUAGGGGAGCGAAUGGGAUUAGAUACCCC